GAUGAACGCUGGCGGCGUGCCUAAUACAUGCAAGUCGAGCGAACGGACGAGAAGCUUGCUUCUCUGAUGUUAGCGGCGGACGGGUGAGUAACACGUGGAUAACCUACCUAUAAGACUGGGAUAACUUCGGGAAACCGUAGCUAAUACCGGAUAAUAUUUUGAACCGCAUGGUUCAAAAGUGAAAGACGGUCUUGCUGUCACUUAUAGAUGGAUCCGCGCUGCAUUAGCUAGUUGGUAAGGUAACGGCUUACCAAGGCAACGAUGCUUAGCCGACCUGAGAGGGUGAUCGGCCACACUGGAACUGAGACACGGUCCAGACUCCUACGGGAGGCAGCAGUAGGGAAUCUUCCGCAAUGGGCGAAAGCCUGACGGAGCAACGCCGCGUGAGUGAUGAAGGUCUUCGGAUCGUAAAACUCUGUUAUUAGGGAAGAACAUAUGUGUAAGUAACUGUGCACAUCCUGACGGUACCUAAUCAGAAAGCCACGGCUAACUACGUG
rnacentral:rRNA from 1 species